rnacentral:misc_RNA from 1 species
UCUCCGUUGGUGAGCCAGCGGAGGGAUCAUUACAGGACUCGCAAGACUCCUACAACCCUGUGAACUUAACUAUAAGCACGUUGCUUCGGCGGGUGUCUCGGAGGGGGUUCUCCCUCCCCGAGACGCUAAACCCGCCGGCAGCCUACUAUACUCUGUCUCUUUGCGUUGGCAUCUCGAGUACAAUCAAACAAGUUAAAACUUUCAACAACGGAUCCCUUGGUUCUG